UACGGAGGGUGCGAGCGUUGUCCGGAAUCACUGGGCGUAAAGGGCGCGUAGGCGGCCUGAUAAGUAGGGGGUGAAAUCCUGCGGCUUAACCGCAGGGCUGCCUUCUAAACUGUCAGGCUCGAGCACAGUAGAGGCAGGUGGAAUUCCCGGUGUAGCGGUGGAAUGCGUAGAGAUCGGGAAGAACAUCGGUGGCGAAGGCGGCCUGCUGGGCUGUUGUUGACGCUGAGGCGCGACAGCGUGGGGAGCAAACAGG
rnacentral:rRNA from 1 species